rnacentral:rRNA from 1 species
GAUGAACGCUGGCGGCAGGCCUAACACAUGCAAGUCGAGCGGAUGACGGGAGCUUGCUCCUUGAUUCAGCGGCGGACGGGUGAGUAAUGCCUAGGAAUCUGCCUGGUAGUGGGGGACAACGUUUCGAAAGGAACGCUAAUACCGCAUACGUCCUACGGGAGAAAGCAGGGGACCUUCGGGCCUUGCGCUAUCAGAUGAGCCUAGGUCGGAUUAGCUAGUUGGUGGGGUAAUGGCUCACCAAGGCGACGAUCCGUAACUGGUCUGAGAGGAUGAUCAGUCACACUGGAACUGAGACACGGUCCAGACUCCUACGGGAGGCAGCAGCGGGGAAUAUUGGACAAUGGGCGAAAGCCUGAUCCAGCCAUGCCGCGUGUGUGAAGAAGGUCUUCGGAUUGUAAAGCACUUUAAGUUGGGAGGAAGGGCAGUAAGUUAAUACCUUGCUGUUUUGACGUUACCGACAGAAUAAGCACCGGCUAACUCUGUGCCAGCCGCCGCAGUAA